UUUAUGGAGAGUUUGAUCCUGGCUCAGGAUGAACGCUGGCGGCGUGCCUAAUACAUGCAAGUCGAGCGAACGGACGAGAAGCUUGCUUCUCUGAUGUUAGCGGCGGACGGGUGAGUAACACGUGGAUAACCUACCUAUAAGACUGGGAUAACUUCGGGAAACCGGAGCUAAUACCGGAUAAUAUUUCGAACCGCAUGGUUCAAAAGUGAAAGACGGUCUUGCUGUCACUUAUAGAUGGAUCCGCGCUGCAUUAGCUAGUUGGUAAGGUAACGGCUUACCAAGGCAACGAUGCAUAGCCGACCUGAGAGGGUGAUCGGCCACACUGGAACUGAGACACGGUCC
rnacentral:rRNA from 1 species